rnacentral:lncRNA from 1 species
CAAAAUAAUAAAUUAUUUUAGUCCUAUUUUACACAAUUCAAAAAUUAGCUAAUGGAAAGGGCUACUUUUAUUCAUGUGUUAUGAUUGACAGUUUUAUAUCAAUAGUAACUCAGUUACUAUUGAUAUAAACACAAGUGCUCAGUGUUAUGAAUUCUUAUGUAAGAAAUAAGUAGCACAAUCAUAAUAAAAUAUUUCAGCAUUUCUGUCUUUUAAUAUAUUGUUACUAAUCAUAGUCAUCUGUUUUGAUUUUGAUAAGGAAAAAAGCAGUUCUUUCUGUUGUCAGUAAGCAUUAUUUUGAUGGGUAAAACUGUACAAAUGCAUAAAAGAACAAAAUGAAACAAGCCCAGUUGUGACAUCUUCCAGAGAGUAUGCAGAUUUCUCCUCAAUGGGUGAGACAUCAUAUGUUCAAAAUCCAGAAUUAUCUAGAAAAAUCAUAAAAAGCUAAGUAAAGCAUUAUGCAAAUACUAUUAUAGGAUUUCUAUGAUAACGAAAAAAGUAGAAACAGCAAAAGAUUUGUUUUUAUUGUAGCAAGGUCCACAAAAUAUAUUAAUAUACAAAUCCUACAAAAGAAGCAUUUUUCAAGAAGCCUUAACGAAUAUUUAAGACAUGAAGUUAUAUUCCACUCAGUUUGAUAGGAAAAUUUGGUAUUAAAAUUAACUAUUUAAUGAUAGCCUAAUGAAGUUCAAAUAGACCAUUUAUAAUCUUUAAAAAAACAGGAAGAAAGUUAGGGAAUUCUGUGUUGUGGCAAUCACAAUUAGUAAAGUCUGAACAGUUUAUAAUAGUAAAAGAUAGCCAUGCUUAGUGGCACAUACUUGCAAUCCUAUCAUUCUGGAGGCAAAGGCAUCAAGAUCAUGAGUUUGAAGCCUGACUAUGCUACAUAGCAAGAUUUUAUCUCAGCAUGGAAAACAGCAUGGGAUGCUGCUCUGGACAUGAAACAAAACCAUGGCUUGAGAACAAGGGGUAAUGAGUGUCAGUGAGUAAACCCUGGCAUGUAAUAGGACGUAGUGCCAUGCAUCCCCAAGUAUGGGGAGGCAAAGUAUGGCAUUCAAAUUCAUGUAUUUUAAAAAGAUGUAGUAUGUGUGUAUGUAUGUUGAUAGACACAUGUACCACAGUACUUAGCAAGAGUGUACAUUUAUCAAACUCAUAAAUAGAUACAUAUGUUAGAUCAAGUUUAUGAUCCAGAGCAUUAAAACAACUUGGUGUUAUUUAGUAAAGAUCCUGUAAACUACAAAAUCACUUAGAAAAUUAAUAUGUGGGGCUCAUUUUUAAGAUCUAAUAGUCAAUGACACCUUUCUAACAUAUUUUGAACAGAAACGUUAAUACUUAUCAAUACUUAGAAACAAAAACUGCAUGGAGUUUAUGAUGUGCUUCUGUUUGUCCUAAGGGCAUAUUAUCUUAUUUGUUUUUUUCCAAUCAUCCUAUCAUGUAAAUUCUAUAGUCAAUAAUUUGCAGCCACUGUGAAAACUGAGACUUAGGGAGGUUGAGAUUGCUAUAGUCACAGGGUCAGUGAUAGUCCAUUAAUUACAAGUUUGAUUUCUCAGUCACUGCAUUGUCUUACAGAUAUAACUGUCUUAAAGUGAGACUCAAAAAUCACAUGAGCAAAACCAGAAGGAAAUCUUCCUUUAUAAUAGUCUAAAAAUAAAGAUGUGUUGGGGUGUUGGAGAGAUGGCUACAAAGUUAAGAGCUCUGGCUAGUCUUCAAGAAGAUCCUGAUCCAAUUCCUAGUUCUCAUCUGGCAGCUCACACUGUCUGUUAUUCCAGUUCCAAAGAAUCUGACACCAUCCUUCUGGCCUCUGUGGGCAUGGGCAUGGAUGUGGUGCAUAGACAUACAUGCUGGCCAAACACCCAUACAUAUAAAUGUAGAAUGAAAAAAGUUCACAAAACGAUAAAUCAUACAAGAACUUAUUUCGAUAAUUUAUUAGGUCUUCAGUAGAAACAAAUAAAAUUAUGCAUUAAUUUUAUUAAUAAAUUAAUAAAAACAAUUAUUUUUAUUAAUUAAAAUUAUGAUUUAUUUUUAUUAACAAAAUUAGGAAGAGCACAUGCACAGAAUAUGAAAUGCAAGUCCUUGUAAACCUGGGAAAAUCAAGCAUCCUUAAUCAUGGUAGUUAUUACAACUGUACAAAAUUUAAAUUUUGUCUAAGACCCAAGUGUUUGCAAAUACUAUGUUGAUGAGGGUUGUGGAAAUAGGUAAUAUUUUAUAUUGCUUGUAACAGUGUUUCUGGUGCAUAAAUGUGACCUGGAGGAGUAUUCCUCUCUAUGGGAUCACUCAAAUAAAAGAAUGUUAACAACAACCUCAAUCAGAACAGUAACAUUUUAGAAAUGACCAAGUUGUAAGUUGACAGCUGAUUAAAAAUGGUUACAGCAGCCCAGUAGAAUGUUGGGACUGUAGAUUUAAAAGUGAAGCAAACACGAAAGAAUCUGCAUGGGGAAUAUUGUGUGAACAGGAACAUAUGUGGAUGUUUAUAGAAUUAAGUCGUUCAUAGAGAGUAAGAAUGUAUGUGCAAAAGUUUCUCAAAGCAUCCACAGAAUAAUCACAUAUGUGAAGAUAUAAAACAUAUGUUACAGAUAUAAAACCCUUCAUACACACAUACACAACUGUCGUGUGUAGGUGAAUGCACACAGAAAUCACAUAGUGUAAGCAUGUAAAAAAUGCAGAGUGGAAGUGUCAGAUUUUUUAAUACAUUUGACUCCUUUGUUUUGUGAAGAAUCAAAAUGUAAUUCAGUGGACUUCAAAAAGAAACAUUAUUUAAAUGUCUUAACGGAAAGCAGAUGCCUAUAAUGGAAGCAUCUGGGGACCAAGUCAGGAGUACUGUAAGUGAAGGCCAGGCUGGACUUCAGUGUGAGACCAAGCAGUGAAUCACUGCUGCAAUCACCAGGAAAAGACAGCACUUCUGACAGCUCCUGCAGGUGCAGGCAUCAAUUUCCUGAAUAGGUCUUGGGGCUUUGGUAUAGACAUGUGGUACUAUGAACUAUAAAGUUGAAUGCAGUCAUGCAUAUGUAUUUUGGACUACUCAUUCUAUAUUUGCUCGAGCUUCCUGAAGAAAAGUAUUUAAAAAUUACUGAAAUGAUAACUGAAAUCCUGGGGAAGAUGCUCAGCAUUUGCCUGUGGCCUUUACCUUUGCAUGCACACAUUUCUGCAUGAGCAUGAAUAUACAACAUAUGUAUAUAGCACAAAAAGCAAUGGCCCACUCUAAGUUUGUAUAGGAAUUUUUGGAUGAUUGAAUUUGAUACAUAUUUGGGAGUCUAAAUUCUUGUUAAAGAUGUAGCUUGUGCUUGUUUUCCUGCAUUUUGUAUGUUGUCACACCACUCUCCUACAUCUCUUUCCUGUAUGUGAUCUUUAAUUUCUUUCUUAGUUUCACUAUUUUAUGCAUGAAUAAUUACACAAUCCAUUUGUGAAAAAGAUUAAAAUGCUACUAUUUGCUGCAAUACAUCUAGACUUGGAAACCAAACUUACUUUAAAAAAAAUGACACACAAGAUAGCAGGAACUGAAUGAUUUCACUCCUGUGGAAUUUCAAAAAGCUGAGCUUAUAGAAGUGAAUGCUGAAUAGCACUGACCAGAGAUCAGGGAGCUUAAGAGAAGUUUGGUGAAUAGGGAAAAUAGUUAAUGAUCAUGCAGGCAGUGGCAGAGGAGAAUGAGCUCUGGUCUUUAUCUCACAGAAAAGUUAACAUAUUUAGCAGUAAAAUGUUUAAAAUAAACAGAAAACAAAAUUUGAAUGUUCUCAUCACUAGUCUCAAUGUCCCGAGUUGAUCAUUACACAAUGGACAAUUGUGUGAAAAUAUAACAUUGUAAUUCCUAUUAGAGUAUGAGAAACUAUCUGGGGAGAACAAAAUGCACAUUUUUAUAGCAGCCACAAAAGUCCAUAUUCACCAUAAAUUCACCAGUACAUAGAGAAAUAACACACACAAGCAGAGUAAUCACACAAACACAAGCAGUCACGUAUUCACUUUAAGAGGUACAUUUAAUACACAGGUCUCAUGUAUGUAUUCACAUACUAAUACACCUCACACAAACGUACACCAUUCACAUGUGUAUUUAAUAUAAAACAUAUACUUAAGAUCACAGAAAGUUGCAUUUACAGGUUCUCACUUUGAUAUGUACUUAAAACUUAAGAACUAAGGUAACUGUGGAAUCAUUGCACUUUGUACACCCAAACAUAUACAAACACACAGACAUCUUUUCAAGGAAUCCCAUAAUGGUGUAUACUCAUUCACAAACACAUCAGCAUUUUGCACACAGAACAAGUUUUCACAUAUACAGAAAUUCAUUUACAUAAAUGCUCACACAAGUCAUAAAGCAAACAUGUGCACACACAAAAUUAUAGUCACAACCCUCUAAUAUACACUCAAGUAAGCAGAUUAACAAUAUAAAAAUGAAAAUACAAGUAUGCACAAACACACAUACAUUUCACAAAGAAACAUACACCAAGCAUACCCAAACACAUACAAGCUCAUGUGACUAUGCACAUAUAAAAACACAAACACGGCAGAGUAGCACUUUCACACACCUCUAUGUUUCCAGCAGCCUCUAACAUUUGUUCUGUGUAGAACUUGUAAAAUCCUGCACCUGCAUUUUCUUAAACCUUUCCUUCAGGACUGUUUUCACCUAAGUGGUUGGUUGUUUUGUCACCAUCCAAAUCUGCAUUAAAUACUUGAAUAUCUUUUCCUUGCUAAUUUAUCAUUGUUCCAUUCUAGGACCUCUCUCCUUUUCUGGAUCUCUCGUUACUUUUCUGUUGUGAACUCUUCACUCUGAAGCUUGCGUAUCCCAUGGCUGCCUCCUCAGGUUCUCAUUGAUGGUGAUUGUCUCAUGAUGUCCACUCCAUCACCUUCCCCAUUGCAGUUUCACCCAGGACAUCAACUCUCUCUAGGAAGCUGCUUUUCCAGUAUGCCUCCAGAAGUCCACCAGCUUGCUACUACUGUAUGAAUAAUAAAAACAAAACAAAAAAGCCAUGUUUCACGUCGUGACCACCGGAGGGCCGUCUAGGAUCAAUCUUGGAAUGGAACCAGCUGACAGUUGUGCCCAUCUGCUCCUGAGCUCUCCACUGUGGGCCACAUAUCUUCAUCUUUCAUUUGUAUCUCUUUGCUUGCUCUGGGGGGAAUACAGUCUACUGUAAUUAAUUGUACUUGCCUAAGGCAUAUUAAAAUACUGCUCUUGCUUCACUUUAGUCUAAAUUGGAAAGAUUUACAAUUUCACAAGCAAUUCCUACAUCGUUUGCCACUGUGUCGAUGGAGGAACCUUCCAAUGACAUGGUACAGGCUGGCAGUUCUGUUCUAUGCAUGUGUUUGUCUGCCUGGAGAACAAUUGAACCCAGGCCCUUUGGCAUGCCAGGCAAGGGCUAAGUCAUUAAACAUCUUCAGCCAUAUUAUCUUUACAGGUAAGCAGAGGAUCUGCUAAGUUAUAGAUCACAUCAAGGACUUACAGCCACAGUUAUUUUAUGGGAAUAACAAAGGCUGCUAAAUUCCCACAGCAGGGAGGCACCACUUUCUUACAUUGUAUGCCCCAAAACACUCAGGCAAGCCACAUAGCUCUUGUGUUUUGCAAGUAUGUAUUUUCUUCUCAGUGCUACUUAGGCAGCUAUGUAAAAGCCAAGACCCUGCCUCCCUCCAAAACGAUGCGACUCCAGUGAAAAGUUGUCCAUCAAUUUAUCAUUUCAU